rnacentral:rRNA from 1 species
ACUUUGAAGAGAGAGUUCAAAAGGGCGUGAAACCGCUUAGAAGAAAACGGACGGAACCGUCUGACGCCCUCGGGAAUCAGUCGAACGACGCGCGAACGCGUCUCGAUCGUCGGAGCGUAAAAGUCCGGCUCGAGGCGUCUAGUAGUCGCGUUCGUAAGGCGCAUUUCUCGAGGGUUAGCGCCGCGACCGAUGCGAACGGCCGACGACGCCGUCGAGUUGAGGUCGAACGCCCUUCGCGGGUAUUCGUAACCAGCUCGUUCGGUAGACUCGUCGGAUCUAAUAUAUAAAGCAUCGAGCGAAUACUAUAAAUACGUCGGCGUAAAACGCUCGACGAGCGGCGGAGACUCGGCCAGUCGUUCGGUACCUGCUCGCAGGUUCUCGUUCGGCGCGAGGUCGUUUCCCGAUGUCGCCGUCGACGCUACCGACGUUUAGGCGUCCGCGGCGUCCGAGUCGGCCACCCGUCCGACCCGUCUUGAAACACGGACCAAGGAGUCUAACGUACGCGCGAGUUAAUGGGUGGAAAACCCAUAAGCGCAAUAAAAGUAAAAGUCGUCCCAAGACGGCCGAGGUACGAUCCUAGACUACGCGUCUAGGCGCAGUACCGUCCCGUCCCGACCGCACGUCGGUAGGGCGGAGAUUGAGCGCAUACGUUGGGACCCGAAAGAUGGUGAACUAUGCCUGAGCAGAGCGAAGCCAGAGGAAACUCUGGUGGAGGUUCGUAGCGGUUCUGACGUGCAAAUCGAUCGUCAGACUUGGGUAUAGGGGCGAAA